UGUAGGUUCGGUUGCGGUGAUUUCGGCUGAAACCACAACACUCCACCAUUUUAUCAGACUAACAUCAUGGCACUUCAGCUUCUCUCAACAGUCCUUUAAGGAGAAACAUGGGUGCCAAGAACAAUUCUCCUUUCUAAGAAAGAGCUAGAGGUGGAGGGCCAUUGAACUGCAGUGAGUGGUGCCCAGCAGAAAGAAGGUUCUUAAAGGCUUAAAUUCUGCACCUCAGCAGCCAAGAGGACGGGUAAUAAAUCCCGAAUUCAGACAAGGGGGGCUUAAGAUGGGAAAUCUCAGCCUGCGGGGUGAACAGAGAAGCUGAAGAUGGAGACGAUGGCUGAAGCCUGCCAAGAUUCAGGGAAAAAUGCAGCAGCAUGCCAGAUCCUCGCUGGAUUUGAGCGUAUCAGGCUGAUUGCAACCCCAGCCCAAUUCUCUGGCUCUGCUGGAAGCUAUCCUAAGAGGUUUCAUGACAGCAGCCUCGGGAACACCUUGUGGAACUGCAGCACUCUGCUCGUCCUCCAUCAUCACGGCUGUGCAGAGAGGGAUGGAUGGCUACAUCUGGGAAUGCAUCUGAAAAAAAGAGGAAAAAAAUGAAAAGAAGCUGCAAAGAGAUUAAUUCCAUCACGAUACCUCAUUUUCCUCAGCAGAAUGAGAACUGCAGAAUUAGCACAGAUUUCUGCUACUUGAGCUAAUGAAGUGCCACUACCAGUCACGGGUUGUCAUCCUCUGAGUAAAGCACUCCCAGAAGAGGAUCGCUGAUGGGCAAUGACAGGAUAUUUUCCACGUUUCAAAGGUUUCUCCGUAUGAUUGCAAAUAAGAAAAAUUAUGGAAGCAUCUUAUUCUGCAAUUAUUCCAUAUUCUCUGACCGACAUGGCUUACUCUUCCCUCUUGCUGUAUUCUCUUCUGUGCAGAUUUUGAACAGAAGUGAAAAUGAAUGUAUUUUUGGUCCUGGGCUGUUCUUAGUAAUUUAAUGUGAUCUGUCAUCAACAAGAGGGAAAACAAAUUUCUGACACUCAAUAAGAAUAAGAAGAGAACAAAAUGUACCUUACUGUGGCUAAAGACUCACACCAGGGAAGUGAAAAAAGAUGUCAUAUUGGGCUUCCUUUCCAUGCGUGUUUACCUACGACCAUUGCUACUGAUGCCAAAAGUGACUGAUAAAGCAACAUUUUUUUUUCUCCGCCACUCUCACUAAAAAAGAAAAAGAAGUUUAGGAAGUCCCUUUUCAGGAAUGAAGCCAAGGUGGAAUCUCAUCCUGGUGGGUUACAGCCUCCCAAUGGAGCUGGGUGACUUGAGAAACACUGUUCUGUAGUCAACAUGAUUCCCAUGCUUUCUAAGCUGACUCCAUCAGCUUUUUACCAUUUUCAUUUCUUCUCCAUUGGCUUGUCUCAUCCCAGUGCAACACUGGAGAAGUCAACAAGCCAUAGCCUGCUUCUGACAGAAACUAGACCAAACUGGCAGCUGUUUUCAGACUGUGAAAAAGAGCUGUUUUCAGCAUUACAGCAUGUAUUGCCUCACGGUGGGUUUGCCUACAUCGCCUCCUACAAGCAGCCCCAAGCCAGCUCUGCCUGGGGGCCUUGUUGGCCACAUGCAGCAUAGCUGUGGUCCAAAAGCAGUGCACCCAGGUGAGUCUAAUGGGGUGCAGCAUACUUCAUUAAUUGUUUCCACAUUUUGCAUGAGCAAUGCAGUUACACUUGAAAGUUCUUUCCUGCACUCCCUUGUCUUCCUCUACUGCACGCCUGGUUAUCUUGGAAUGGUUAUUUCUGCUCCUCCCUAACACUUUUUGCUCCUGUCCUGAGUACUCCUAACUAACACUAACAGGAAGGAGAGCAGGGCUCAACAUUGAAAUUCAAAUCACACAAGUUCAAACAUUUAUUUAAAAUCAGAUGCUGCUCAGAUGCCGUGAGACUACACAUUUUACAGCGCAGUUUGUGUAAGCUUUGCAAACAUCCCAAGCAAACAAUCUUUGCAGAAAACAUAACCAUAUCAUUUUACUCAUUUCUGGAAUUCUGGCUUGUGGGGAAGAUCAUUCCCAACAAUGUCUCUGCUCAGAUCCUUUGCAGAGUGGUCUUUGUACUUUUUCAUAAUAUCCCUGUUUUCCUGUGUUGAUACCUAUUGGAGAAACAGCUUAUAUGAGUUACAGAAACCAUCUAGUUUGAUAAUCUUAUGACUUGCUAUCAUGCCUCACAAAUAUAUUAUUCCUUGACUUUCAGAUCAUGUUUGCUAUUAAAACUAAUCAAACACACUUCAGUUAUCCCCUGCUUCCUGACAGACCCAUUCUAAAUGGCAUUUUUGAUACUUGUUCACCUCAUGGAGCCUGUACCAUCCUUCUUAGCGUUAAUUCCUGAACCUAAUUCAUCAUUAACAUUUACAUGGUCUCGGUGUGUUAGCUCUCAUCACAGGAAAUUGUUAGAACAUCAUCGUGGGGUGUUGGACAGCCAGGCCGGUGCGUGUGGGAUCAGAGAAAGAGGAUGAAGGAGCUCUACCCUCCCACUUGGAGAGUCUCGGCAGAGGACAGAGGCAGCUGGACUGACUGGGAGGCAGAAGGUGUGCUUCAGGAAACUGCUUCUGGUGACAUUUUUUCCCUGUGAGUUGGCAGGUCAAGAGUUGAGGAGUUACAGCUUGUCCCCACUGUUGAUAUUCUUAAGCAGGGAAUGACAUUUAUCUCUCAACAGUCCCUCAUUGUAAAGCCAAACCUGCUCCCUUCCCAAAACAACUUGCAGCGUUGUUCUGCUGUUAUCGUGGUAAGUUAUGAAUGUGAGACAUGUUGAAUCACAACAACUCUCCUGUACGCAGUUGUUCUGAGUGCUGGAGAAAUUUGUCUUUUGCCAUGUAUGGCAUUUUUAUGCUCCUAUUUAUUAUGGGUGCAAUGUUGGGGUCUUGAUGGGAUGGCAAGGAAGCAGGAAGCGCGCAGGCCGCUCUGGGAUUUUAAGUGCAGACUUCUGGAGUAUUCCGAGGAGUGUGGAUCAGUUUAUGAUUCAUCUGUGACCAAUGUGUGAGCAGCACUUCGUGUCUGCACGUGUA